rnacentral:lncRNA from 1 species
CUUGAAGGCCCUAAAGGUGAAGUUGGAGCACCUGGUUCCAAGCUGGCCCCACUGGUCCAAUGGGUGCCAUGGGUCCUCUGGGUCCGAGGGGAAUGCCAGGAGAGAGAGGGAGACUUGGGCCACAGGGUGCUCCUGGACAACGAGGUGCACAUGGUAUGCCUGGAAAACCUGGACCAAUGGGUCCUCUUGGGAUACCAGGCUCUUCUGGUUUUCCAGGAAAUCCUGGAAUGAAGAAGCAGGUCCUACAGGGGCGCGAGGCCCUGAAGGUCCUCAGGGGCAGAGAGGUGAAACUGGGCCCCCAGGUCCAGUUGGCUCUCCAGGGUGCAAUAGGAACUGAUGGUACUCCUGGUGCCAAAGGCCCAACGGUGAGUACCUCUGGUCCUCCUGGCUCAGCAGGGCCUCCUGGAUCUCCAGGACCUCAGGGUAGCACUGGUCCUCAGGGAAUUCGAGGCCAACCGGGUGAUCCAGGAGUUCCAGGUUUCAAAGGAGAAGCUGGCCCAAAAGGGGAACCAGGGCCACAUGGUAUUCAGGGUCCGAUAGGCCCACCCGGUGAAGAAGGCAAAAGAGGUCCCAGAGGUGACCCAGGAACAGUUGGUCCUCCAGGGCCAGUGGGAGAAAGGGGUGCUCCUGGCAAUCGUGGUUUUCCAGGCUCUGAUGGUUUACCUGGGCCAAAGGGUGCUCAAGGAGAACGGGGUCCUGUAGGUUCUUCAGGACCCAAAGGAAGCCAGGGGGAUCCAGGACGUCCAGGGGAACCUGGGCUUCCAGGGUUUGACAGGAAAUCCUGGUGUUCAAGGUCCUGAAGGAAAACUUGGACCUUUGGGUGCGCCAGGGGAAGAUGGCCGUCCAGGUCCUCCAGGCUCCAUAGGAAUCAGAGGGCAGCCCGGGAGCAUGGGCCUUCCAGGCCCCAAAGGUAGCAGUGUGAGGUGACCCUGGGAAACCUGGAGAAGCAGGAAAUGCUGGAGUUCCUGGGCAGAGGGGAGCUCCUGGAAAAGAUGGUGAAGUUGGUCCUUCUGGUCCUGUGGGCCCGGUCUAGCUGGUGAAAGAGGAGAACAAGGACCUCCAGGCCCCACAGGUUUUCAGGGGCUUCCUGGUCCUCCAGGGCCUCCUGGAGAAGAUCAAGUAUUGAGAUUAUUUGACAUCCCAAUUUUGUGCUAGGGAGAACGAGGAAAUCCUGGGGAAAGAGGAGAACCUGGGAUAACUGGACUCCCUGGUGAGAAGGGAAUGGCUGGAGGACAUGGUCCUGAUGGCCCAAAAGGCAGUCCAGGUCCAUCUGGGACCCCUGGAGAUACAGGCCCACCAGGUCUUCAAGGUAUGCCGGGAGAAAGAGGAAUUGCAGGAACUCCUGGCCCCAAGGGUGACAGAGU